CAGGACGUGGGCGUGUAUUUACUGCCUGAGCUUCUAGGGAACGAGGGGCUAGAAAGUUCUUACAGACUUGGUUUGGAGGAAGUUCCUAGUGGCACGUGAGAAGAGCUGCUCCAGAAACGCCAGGGCGCGUCAUUAUCGUGCGCCCAGCCUCUCCGCCUCAUCCCAGCUCCCAGCGUCCCGGGAGUAUUCACCGCCCGUUUAGGGCUCCUGCUCGGGCUGGGGGAGGAAGGCCAGGACACUCCAGCCUGGGGACCCUUCUCUUGGCACAGCGCUGUGCGGAGGUCCUUCACUGACCCCUUCUGGGAGAGGGUGCUGUUCUGGGGCAGGCGCUUCCUUCCCGUCUUCCAUUCUGGACUGAGAGAAAAAAAACCUGAGAGGAGAGGAGGGAAGAGAAGAGAGCCCUGAAGCAACUUGGAUGUUUCCCUUUGAGCCGAUUCUUCUCCCCACAGUGAACAGCAUCGUGGUUGGUGAAGGGAAAAGGGCCGUGACCUGGACACCUGGAUUUGAGAUCCAGCUCUGACCUGAUAAAUGGGGGCCCUUGGCAUCUCAGGGUUUGGUUUCCCCCUCCCUAAAACAGGGUUAGCCCUCUCCAGCCAAGACAUUCGGGGACGAUACUAUAAUUAAGAAUGAAAUCCAGUAGUAUCCUUUGUUUCCUUCGCAUGACCACUUCUUACACAGGACAGGGAAAGUGGUCCUUCUGUUCACACACACAUGUGUAACCCCAUUAUAUUUUGUUUUUUUUUUGUUUUUGUUUUUUUUUUUGCAACGGUGCCUUUCAAGAACAAAGAGAACUUGGCUUCAGGUAGUCUAGAUACGUUAGAACUCCACUUACUUCCCUCUUGCAAGGAGUUUCUGGAAACACUAACUGGAUGAAUCCCAAAAACUGAAUUCUUUUCCGAGUUUCUAACUCCCCCAGAUUCCCGUUUGGACGGAAAAUGGAGUCGCUUCCUUGCUUCCGACAGACACCCGCUUACCCUCCAAAUGAGACAAAAUGAUGGAAAAGCUGAAAUUUAUGCCUUUGGAAUCUGAAGCAUUAACUGUUGUAAAUCAGCCUUCGGUGCCCAAAGAGCGGCGCCGCAAGUGCACUGUGCACCCGAUGUUUAUUGCAGCACCAUUCAAAGCAGCCAACGUAUGGAAUCAACCUAGAUGUCCAACAACAGAUGAGCGGAUAAAGAAAAUGCGGUGCACCAGGAAGAGAGAGCAGAUGGGAGGCGGUUCUUAGCUGCACCCCUGUUCUGUGUCCUGCCAGUUGCUGUGGCAGGGACAGGAUGAGAGCAAGCACGGGCGGCUGAAUGAGUGUCCCCACCACAGCAUGGCCCUCGAGUGGAUAAUGGGGUAAUGUUCCCAGUCUGACCCAGAAGAAGAUCUGUAGCUCCCAGGGGAUUAAGGCUGUUGACUCAGUGGCCACACCGGGCACCGGCAGACACGGAUGGAAUAAUCGCAGUGCAUCUUGAAGGCUCCCGCAGUUACGUUAUGGCAAAAUAGGACUUACUGGGCUAGCUGUGACCUGGCCACCACCGGAGGAUUAUUGCAUCAUUUUAGAACAUUGUUAUUCUGGAAAAAAUCAAAGAGUACUCUUUUAAAUUCCAAACAGCUGACUCACAAGUGAACUUUUGGAAGCCAACCCUUUGUCAUUGAGGGCUGCUUGAUUGUAGCCUCGCAUGGUGGCGCAUGAAGGCCCCGGCAGUCAGGCCAAGCGUGUCCAGGUGGCCAAGCCCUCUGGCCACCCCCCUGAAGGAGCUCCUGUCCGAUUGCCUGUAGGAAGACCUUGAUGAGGACAGCACACGCUGAGCAGGCAGGGACCAACAGAGGGUGUUCAAGCAACGAAUGCAAUACGGAAUGAAAAGACAUGGAAGAAUGAAAUCGGUCAUAAACGAAAUCCACAGAAACAAAGUCUAGCAUCGAGCACCAUCUCUACUGAGUGCCAAUGACAUCUCCUGUGAGGUUGGAGAAGAAUCCUGGGCUCUGAAUGGCCUCCGGCAGGGGCAGGUAGGAGCAGGCAGGUCCUGGUGCAGCCAGUGGCUGAGAAAACAGGAUUUGAGACAGUCUGGUGGUCAGCCACGUGACUGUGGGCAAGUCAUCUAGGUUUCUGGGGUCUCUGCUUUCUCAUCUGUAAAAAAGGAGCCAAAACUAGCUCCUCUGGGUUUGAAGAUCAUUCAUUGGACGUGUUCAGCACGAUCUUGGGCUCACAGAGACACUCAACAAACGAAGGAUAAAUGCUUUUCUGUUAACCAAACCCAUUCAAGGAUGGCAUGGGCCUCCUUGGGGAUGGAGUGGCGAGUUCCCUGCCAGUGAAAGUGUUUAAGAGGAGGCAAGCAGGAUUCUCAGUUUCCUGAUCAGAGGCAUCACCUGGGGAUAGUGUUAAAAUUCAGAUUCUGAUUCAAACAGGUCCUGGGUGGGGCCUGAAAUUCUGCAUUUCUAGCAAGCCCAGACAAUGGCGAUGCCGCAGAUGCCAGUAGACCACACUUGAGUAGCAGGGAGCUGGCUUAUUCCUUGGGGGGAUGCUGAAGAAGGUCUGUGAUAAUCCAUCAGAUGGAGCAGCGUGUUGCACCUCAUUGUCCUGCGCAGUGGCCACUCACCAGAGGUGGCAUUGAACAUUUGUAAGGAGGCAAAUUGAGUCCAAAUUGAGACACUCUAUGAGUAUAAAAUACACAAAUAGUAUAACAAAAAGAAUGCAAAAUAUCCCAAUAAUUUUCAUAAUGAUGACAUGCUGAAUAAUAGUUUGGAUAUAUGAAGCUAAAUAAAAUAUUGAAAUAAAUUUCAUCUGUUUGUUUUUUUACCAUUUUUCUUGUUUCUUUUUUUGCUGUGGCUACUAGGAAACUUACAAUGACCUAUAUGGCUCACAUUCCAUUUCUGUUGGACAGUGCUGAACUAGGUCAUCUCCCAGUCCCUUCUGAACAUGAGCACCCUGUGCAAACUCUAAGCUGCUGUCCAUGCCUAUCCACAUGGGCAUCCCCUGGGGAACGUCUGUGGCUUGUUCCCUUGUCGCAGCUAAAGGCAGCAAGCAAAGAGGGAGGGACAGAGGCAUGAGGUUCUCUAAAACCUCCUGUUUGCCUGGGGCAGGGAUGGAGGGUAAGGAUGGAGCUUGUUUGUCUCUGCUUCUCUUUCUUCCUCCUCCUUUCUCAGAAGUAAACAGGAGACAAAAAGUGUGUCAUUA